AAGGAAACUAAAACAGUAGGUAGGAAAGAAACCCACGCCUUCUUCUUUGGAAUCUGCAAAAAGACGCAUCUCCACCAAGAACAGUAACUCCGGCCGCCUUCCAGUCGCCGACAUUAAGACGAAAUGUUCAAGAGCUUAGGCGGCAUCCACCUGGGCGUUCAAAACUUCUCACAAACGCCAUGGAUCCUGUCUGAUGAAGACUUCUUCAACUCGUAACAGUCGUCCAUCUUGUCCGCAAGGCUGAGCUUCGAGAAGCUAAUACCACUGCAGCGAUUAAAGGCUAAUUAGGUAACCUCUUUGAUUCUGCAGAAUUAGACCAACUUUAAACAACAAUUGGUCUAAUUUAAAGUGUUCUGCAAUUGUGUAAAUGCUGUUGUAGGCCUGAUAUACUCUUUGCUGCUGUAUGUUUUGUUCAUGCCCUUCUCUAUUUCAAAGGUUUUGUUUUAGAUAUUGAAAUUAGCAUUUUGACAUUUCUUUAUCCUGAGAUUUGGUGUUUCAUGAAGUACUGCUUGAGCUUGUCCUGGUAGGUCUUCUACUGAUGUAAACUGAAUGUUAUUUGUACCUGCAAAACUGAAGAUAUAGUUAGUUCAAAAAUCAGCCAGUUUGUUCCCUUCCUUCUCUGAAAAUGUGUGUCACCACCACUUCCUUAUCUUUUAGCUCCUCCAUAAUGCACCUUGUGUCCACUGCUAUUCCCCAAGGAAAUUCCCAUAUUCUGUCAAGGACUUUUUUAAUUAUUAGUGAGUCUGUUUCCAUCACAAGAGGGAGAUAAUUGUUUUGCACACAAUACAGUAGACCACUUGUAAACGCUUUCACUUCAGCUUCUAAUGCAGUGCAAAAUGUUAUACAAUCAGUUUGUGCAUAGAUUAAAUCUCCAUGGCAGCUUCUCACACAAAAGCCUUUAGAGCUAAUUGAUAAUUGAUCUUUGCUAGAGCCAUCCGUAUUGCAUUUAAACACUCCAACAGCAGGCCAGCUCCAUCUUACUACUUUCCAAGAGAGCUUUGGGCUAUAUUCUUAAAAAAACUUUACCAUCCAAGGCCAAGAGCUUGGGAUAUUAACUAACCAAGGAUAUCUAUUCAUAGCAAAUAAAUGAAUAUUCCUGUUGAUUUCUCUUAACAUAGUGAAUCUGGAUAAUUUUCCUCCAUUUCUAAUAGCAUUUCUUCUUUUCCAAAUCUGCCAUAUGAUAAAUAUUGGAACUGCAUUA